rnacentral:rRNA from 1 species
UACGAAGGGGGCUAGCGUUGUUCGGAAUUACUGGGCGUAAAGGGCGCGUAGGCGGUGUGUCAAGUCAGGCGUGAAAGCCCCGGGCUCAACCUGGGAACAGCGCUUGAGACUGGCACGCUCGAGUCCGGAAGAGGUGAGUGGAACUCCGAGUGUAGAGGUGAAAUUCGUAGAUAUUCGGAAGAACACCAGUGGCGAAGGCGGCUCACUGGUCCGGUACUGACGCUGAGGUGCGAAAGCGUGGGGAGCAAACAGG